rnacentral:tRNA from 1 species
AAGACGCUAGUAAAACGGUACAUUACACCGCCUUGUCAAGGCAGAAUUGUGGGUUAAAGUCCCGCGUGUCUUAG